GCCGGGUUAGCUCAGUUGGUAGAGCACUUGAUUUGUAAUCAUGAGGUGGCGAGUUCGAUCCUCGCACCCGGCUCCA
rnacentral:tRNA from 3 species